rnacentral:lncRNA from 1 species
ACCCCAUCCUCAGUGUCUAAGUGCUGAAGUGAUGGAUGGAGAUGAGAAGAUUGACAUAGGAGGCCUUGUGUCUUCUUACAAACAUUAAGUUCUCUCCUGGCAAGUAGUGCUGUUCUCUCAGAACUGUACAGUAGAUUUGAAGGCAAAGCUGCUUCAGAGGCAGUGCCAAGGUCUUACAACGGCAGGAAGCACUGGCUCCAGGCUGCUUUGCAUGUGUUGGCAUUGGUGUUAGGUGGUUACACGAUACAGGCUACCACAGUGUCACUUUACAUUCUAAAGUGGAGAGAACAAAAAGUAGACUCUGAGCAGCCCUUCCCUAUAAGCCUUCUCUCCUAAGAUACGUGAGUUUCACCAGCCAGGUCUUACUGUUUGUUGACUCAUGCAUGCAGCUUCAAGGAAAGCCCCGCAGGGCCUUAUAAAGCCAGGUGCCUUGCUUCCUGUACACUAGCUGUUAGCUCAUUUGGCAGCAGAAGGAAGGAGGAGAGUGGGUAUUGGGUAAACAGUGGAUCUCAGUUCCUCUCACUUGUACACUCAACAUUUAGUGAGUGUGCAAGUGACUGUGCGAGUGAGUAAGUGAACACACUGGUCAUGGAGAGUCCAGGCAUUUGGUGCCGAUGCUGUGUUAUGGUAAAGGGGCAAAGGUUUGCUUUUGGUUUUGCAUUGCUGGGGAUCAGACUGUAAGUGCUCCACUAGGUAGCUACAUUGUCCCCCUUGGCCUGUGAGCCAGGGCUCCACUAGGUAGCUACAUUGUCCCCCUUGGCCUGUGAGCCAGGGCUCCACUAGGUAGCUACAUUGUCACCCUUGACCUGUGAGACAGACAGGGUUUUGCUUUGACUUGAAUCCAAGCUCCUCCUGCCUCAGCCUCUCAGUGCUGGGAUUACAUCUGUGUGCCACCACCACACCUGGCAAACUGUCAGUUUUUAGUCUUAAAAUCAGGUUGCUCUCUCUUGACUACCUGGAAAAUCACCUUAGCGUAUCUUUAAGUCCAUGCAGUAAGGCAGACUUGCAGGAUAAAAGACAAGGGGCUUUUUUAACGUGCUCAUGACUGGACUAAUCAAAUUUACUUAAAUAGUUUUGUUGAAUUACUGUUAUUUCAACUUCUAGGAUCACUGUAUAAUUUAUCUUCUGUAUUUAUGGGCUUUUCUCAGAGGUGUGUGUGUGUGUGUGUGUGUGAGUGUGUGUGAUUUUUUUUUUCUCAGAGGUGUGUGUGUGAUUUUUUUUUUCCAUUUUUAAUCUUUGUUCUGUGGUGAUUUUCCUGACAGGUAUGUUAAAGUCUGUAUAAUUGUACUAUUGGAAAACCAUGUUGAGAACCAAGAGCUAGAUGAGAUAGUUGGUACAAGUGUGUAAUCCUUGCAUGUGCUGGAUAAAGCAGGAGUAUGGUGACUACUCAGCCAGCCUAGGCUACACAAGGAGAGUCAAUCUUUUGUGUCUCUUCAAAUAAUUAA